AAUAAAUCCCCUGGACGCAAGUGAAACGACAACCUUAUCCAAGUAAUCUUGUUAGGGAAAGUGUUGUGACCAGCGUGCAUGUGUUUUCUCUUACAAGUUAAAUGGUUCAAUGGUAGCCUGGUGUUAUUUUGUUCAUCAGGAGAAUUUUUGACGCUAGUGUUUUUACACCUACUCUACAUUGAGUAGCUAACAUUCCUACUUAGUGUGUGAAAGUUCAAAAUGGCCAAUUACAAAACGUACAAGAGAAGACGCACAACAGGAUCAAAUGAUUGAAAAGACUCCAGCUGGUUCACAUUUGACCCUCUUGAAGACAUGGGAACACCUGCCCAAACAGCCGCUGCUCAGUUCUCAUGCCGCUAAAGCUAUAUUAUGGUACACACGCAGUCUGCUUCUCCCUCCACUGCGGGAGCACCUAGAGGCUCCGCUGUGGGGCAAGCAAGAGCCAUGCGCUUCACAGCCGAGGCAAUUUGCAAUCAACACACCGGCAACUAAUGAGAGGAGACAGGAUAAAGAGCUUCGCCGCUGACUUCUCCUUGUCGGAACGUAGCCCUGUUUACACCCUCCGUGUCUCAGUUGUUGCCUUGCGCUUCCACUGUAGAUCUUAACCCGGUCUCUGAUUGCCUUCCCGGAUUCUCGACUCCCAAACACCUGGAUUUAGACCUCUGACGCCUCUCUCCUGCCGUACGGACCUCGGUCGGAUCACAAAACCCUUUUAGAUCUUCCCUCUCUGGACUUGGAUGCUGCCACAACCAACACGCACUUUCAACAAACCUGCGGAACUUCAGGUGAGAUCUCAGGGCGUUCAAACGUUCGCAACUGGACUGCUUGGUUUGUUUUGGAAGACAUCAGAUAUCAGCACGAUAUUUCAACUUGUGUAUUCAGGUGUGAAGCAGCAUCAAUUUGCAGUGCGCAAUAACAUAGAAUCACUCACACGUUUUUACACACAUGCACACACAUGCACACACAAACAUAAGGCACCACAGCACACAGAUUAUAAAACAUUAAUUUACAAUCUAUUAAGAAGCUAUAUUGUUAAGAAUGUAUCAAUAAAACUUAAAUAUAA